rnacentral:tRNA from 1 species
UGGGGUUGUGGCUCAGUCGUAGAGUGCUCACCUAGCAUGCAUGAGGCACUGGGUUCAAUCCUCAGCACCACAA